GCGUUUUGUUAUCCACCAGGUGCGCCGGUCAAUGCCGGCGAUAAUCGGGAAGCCGGUGCGCUCCAUGAGCAAUCCCGGCGCUGCCCCCGCAACGGUAAUCGAUCGCAGCCCUGCUGCAGGUCCGCGCAACAGCCACUGGGUCAACCGGGAAGGCGCGCGGAGCGGAAUCGAGAGCCCGGAGACCGGCCUGACGGAUUCGACUGGU
rnacentral:ncRNA from 2 species